rnacentral:rRNA from 1 species
GAUGAACGCUGGCGGCGUGCCUAAUACAUGCAAGUCGAGCGAACGGACGAGAAGCUUGCUUCUCUGAUGUUAGCGGCGGACGGGUGAGUAAAACGUGGAUAACCUACCUAUAAGACUGGGAUAACUUCGGGAAACCGGAGCUAAUACCGGAUAAUAUUUUGAACCGCAUGGUUCAAAAGUGAAAGACGGUCUUGCUGUCACUUAUAGAUGGAUCCGCGCUGCAUUAGCUAGUUGGUAAGGUAACGGCUUACCAAGGCAACGAUGCAUAGCCGACCUGAGAGGGUGAUCGGCCACACUGGAACUGAGACACGGUCCAGACUCCUACGGGAGGCAGCAGUAGGGAAUCUUCCGCAAUGGGCGAAAGCCUGAUGGAGCAACGCCGCGUGAGUGAUGAAGGUCUUCGGAUCGUAAAACUCUGUUAUUAGGGAAGAACAUAUGUGUAAGUAACUGUGCACAUCUUGACGGUACCUAAUCAGAAAGCCACGGCUAACUACGUG